rnacentral:rRNA from 1 species
UUGCGAAAAGCUUUGCCAAGAAUGUUUCCAUUAAUCAAGAACGAAAGUUAGAGGUUCGAAGGCGAUCAGAUACCGCCCUAGUUCUAACCAUAAACGAUGCCAGCCAGCGAUCCGGCUGUGUUCCUCAAAUGACACGCCGGGCAGCUUCCGGGAAACCAAAGCUUUUGGGUUCCGGGGGAAGUAUGGUUGCAAAGCUGAAACUUAAAGGAAUUGACGGAAGGGCACCACCAGGAAUGGAGCCUGCGGCUUAAUUUGACUCAACACGGGGAAACCUACCCGGCCCGGACACAGGAAGGAUUGACAGAUUGAGAGCUCUUUCUUGAUUCUGUGGCAGGUGGUGCAUGGCCGUUCUUAGUUGGUGAGGCGACUUGUCUGGUUAAUUCCGAUAACGAACGAGACUCUAGCCUACUAAAUAGACGUUCCGAUUAUCGCCGUCGGACGUUCUUCUUAGAGGGACAAGCAGCGUUUAGCUGCACGAGACAGAGCAAUAACAGGUCUGUGAUGCCCUUAGAUGUCCGGGGCCGCACGCGCGCUACAUUGAAGGAAUCAUCGUGUGCUUUCCCUGUCCGACAGGACUGGGUAACCCGUUGAACCUCCUUCGUGCUGGGGAUAGGGGCUUGCAAUUGUUCCCCUUGAACGAGGAAUUCCCAGUAAGCACGAGUCAUCAGCUCGUGUUGACUAAGUCCCUGCCCUUUGUACACACCGCCCGUCGCUACUACCGAUUGAAUGAUUUAGUGAGGUCUUCGGACUGGCGCUCGGAGCGGCCUUCGGGUCGCGCCGGUGUGCCGGAAAGAUGACCAAACUUGAUCAUUUAGAGGAAGUAAAGUCGUAACAAGGUUUCCGUAGGUGAACCUGCGGGAAGGGAUCCA